rnacentral:lncRNA from 1 species
UGUUAUUCCAGUAACUGUUGUUUUUUAACUGUUCCCCCCCAGAAUGGCUCCUGAGAGAGGCUUCCCAGGAUACUGCUGAGGGCAGUGUUGUGUCAGUGUGAUCUGUCUGAAGUGAAACAGACAGAGGAAGAUCCCUAAAUGUUAAUAGGGCGAAACCUGUGCAGGAGCUCUCUGAAAGGAACAAAGAGAAGAAACUAAGGCAAAAGUAAAAACUUUUCAUAAGAAACUGUAAGGCCUGAUUGAGGUCAAACUC